rnacentral:rRNA from 1 species
AUUGAACGCUGGCGGCAUGCUUUACACAUGCAAGUCGAACGGUAACAGGUUAAGCUGACGAGUGGCGAACGGGUGAGUAAUGCAUCGGAACGUGCCCGAUCGUGGGGGAUAACGCAGCGAAAGCUGCGCUAAUACCGCAUACGAUCUGAGGAUGAAAGCGGGGGACCGUAAGGCCUCGCGCGAUCGGAGCGGCCGAUGUCAGAUUAGGUAGUUGGUGGGGUAAAGGCUCACCAAGCCAACGAGCUGUAGCUGGUCUGAGAGGACGACCAGCCACACUGGGACUGAGACACGGCCCAGACUCCUGCGGGAGGCAGCAGUGGGGAAUUUUGGACAAUGGGCGAAAGCCUGAUCCAGCAAUGCCGCGUGCAGGAAGAAGGCCUUCGGGUUGUAAACUGCUUUUGUACGGAGCGAAAAGGCUCUCUCUAAUACAGGGGGCUCAUGACGGUACCGUAAGAAUAAGCACCGGCUAACUACGUGCCAGCCGCCGCGGUAA